UAACAGGAAGCAGCUUGCUGCUUCGCUGACGAGUGGCAGACGGGUGAGUAAUGUCUGGGAAGCUGCCUGAUGGAGGGGGAUAACUACUGGAAACGGUAGCUAAUACCGCAUAAUGUCGCAAGACCAAAGAGGGGGACCUUCGGGCCUCUUGCCAUCGGAUAUGCCCAGAUGGGAUUAGCUUGUUGGUGGGGUAACGGCUCACCAAGGCGACGAUCCCUAGCUGGUCUGAGAGGAUGACCAGCCACACUGGAACUGAGACACGGUCCAGACUCCUACGGGAGGCAGCAGUGGGGAAUAUUGCACAAUGGGCGCAAGCCUGAUGCAGCCAUGCCGCGUGUAUGAAGAAGGCCUUCGGGUUGUAAAGUACUUUCAGCGGGGAGGAAGGGAGUAAAGUUAAUACCUUUGCUCAUUGACGUUACCCGCAGAAGAAGCACCGGCUAACUCCGUGCCAGCAGCCGCGGUAAUACGGAGGGUGCAAGCGUUAAUCGGAAUUACUGGGCGUAAAGCGCACGCAGGCGGUUUGUUAAGUCAGAUGUGAAAUCCCCGGGCUCAACCUGGGAACUGCAUCUGAUACUGGCAAGCUUGAGUCUCGUAGAGGGGGGUAGAAUUCCAGGUGUAGCGGUGAAAUGCGUAGAGAUCUGGAGGAAUACCGGUGGCGAAGGCGGCCCCCUGGACGAAGACUGACGCUCAGGUGCGAAAGCGUGGGGAGCAAACAGGAUUAGAUACCCUGGUAGUCCACGCCGUAAACGAUGUCGACUUGGAGGUUGUGCCCUUGAGGCGUGGCUUCCGGAGCUAACGCGUUAAGUCGACCGCCUGGGGAGUACGGCCGCAAGGUUAAAACUCAAAUGAAUUGACGGGGGCCCGCACAAGCGGUGGAGCAUGUGGUUUAAUUCGAUGCAACGCGAAGAACCUUACCUGGUCUUGACAUCCACGGAAGUUUUCAGAGAUGAGAAUGUGCCUUCGGGAACCGUGAGACAGGUGCUGCAUGGCUGUCGUCAGCUCGUGUUGUGAAAUGUUGGGUUAAGUCCCGCAACGAGCGCAACCCUUAUCCUUUGUUGCCAGCGGUCCGGCCGGGAACUCAAAGGAGACUGCCAGUGAUAAACUGGAGGAAGGAGGGGAUGACGUCAAGUCAUCAUGGCCCUUACGACCAGGGCUACACACGUGCUACAAUGGCGCAUACAAAGAGAAGCGACCUCGCGAGAGCAAGCGGACCUCAUAAAGUGCGUCGCAGUCCGGAUUGGAGUCUGCAACUCGACUCCAUGAAGUCGGAAUCGCUAGUAAUCGUGGAUCAGAAUGCCACGGUGGAUACGUUCCCGGGCCUUGUACACACCGCCCGUCACACCAUGGGAGUGGGUUGCAAAAGAAGUAGGUAGCUUAACCUUCGGGAGGGCGCUUACCACUUUGUGAUUCAUGACUGGGGUGAAGUCGUAACAAGGUA
rnacentral:rRNA from 1 species